rnacentral:rRNA from 1 species
GAUUCUCUAAGUCAGCCACGAAUAGGCUAUCCCAACUAACGGCGGGAAUGACUCCAUGGAGGGUGUAAGACCCGUGUGGGCGCGUGUCAAUGUUGUAUGGGUUCGGCCUCUUCCCUGAGAGUCGCGUUGCUUGAACAUGCAGCCUAAGAGGUCGUAAACUCGAUCUAAGGCUAAAUAUGUCCACAGGUCCGAUAGCAAACAAGUACCGUGAGGAAAAGUUGAAAAGCACUCUGAAGAGAGAG